AACUUUAAGAUAURRAUUAAAGUGUAACCUGCUCAAUGAUUAAUAAUUAAAUAGCCGCAGAUCCACUGUGCUAAGGUAGCAUAAUAAUUAGCUUCUUAAUUAGAAGAUUGUAUGAAAGGUUAAACUAUUAAUAUCUGUCUCUAAUUAAAUAAUUAAAUUUACUAUUAUGUAAAAAAUCAUAAAUACAAAAAUAGGACGACAAGACCCUGACAAACUUAAUAUUUAAUUGGGGCAAUAGAUUAAUUAAAUUUUAAUAAUAAAAAACACAAAACUACUUUAAGAAAUAAAGAAUAGUUACUGCAGGGAUAACAGCGCAAUAUCUUUUCAAAGUUCUUAUAAAAAAAGAUGAUUACGACCUCGAUGUUGAAUUAAUAUAUCUAUUUGGUGCAAAAACUAAAAAAGUAGGUCUGUUCGACCUUUAAUAUAUU
rnacentral:rRNA from 1 species